CGGUCCCAUUCCGAACCCGGAAGCUAAGCCUGUCUGCGCCGAUGGUACUGCACCCGACAGGGUGUGGGAGAGUAGGACACCGCCGAAC
rnacentral:rRNA from 1 species